AGAGCUGGAGAGAGACGUGGUGGAGCUCAGAGAGCUGGAGAGAGACGUGGUGGAGCUCAGAGAGAGACGUGGUGGAGCUCAGAGAGCUGGAGAGAGACGUGGUGGAGCUCAGAGAGCUGGAGAGAGACGUGGUGGAGCUCAGAGAGCUGGAGAGAGACGUGGUGGAGCUCAGAGAGCUGGAGAGAGAUGGUGGAGCUCAGAGAGCUGGAGAGAGAAGUGGUGGAGCUCAGAGCUGGAGAGAGACGUGGUGGAGCUCAGAGAGCUGGUGAGAGACGUGGUGGAGCUCAGAGAGAGACCUGGUGGAGCUCAGAGAGACGUGGUGGAGCUCAGAGAGAGACGUG
ensembl:lncRNA